AAUUAAUAAAAUUCACUAUUAAAAUAAUCUAUUAAAUACUUGGUCCUUUCGUACUAAAAUAUUUUAUUUAUAUUAAGAUAGAAACCAACCUGGCUCACGCCGGUUUGACCCUCCGAUCAUGGUAA
rnacentral:rRNA from 1 species